UGAAAAGAAUCAACUUUAUAGUACUUGUGAGAACAUUCUGAAAUGCUUGAGGCCUUGCCCUGCUUCACCCAGAGCAAGGUUAUAGACAUUUUAGACAAGG
rnacentral:snoRNA from 1 species